rnacentral:rRNA from 1 species
UACCUGGGGGAGGUUGACUCAAUUGAAACUGGCGCGGACCAAGGGAAUCCGACUGUCUACUAAAAACACAGCAUUGCGAUGGUCCCCGCGGAUGUUGACGCAAUGUGAAUCCUGCCCAGUGCUCAGACUGUCAAGACGGAGAGAUUCGACGAAGCACGGGUAAACGGCGGGAGUAACUAUGACUCUCUUAAGGUAGCCAAAUGCCUCGUCAUCUAAUUAGUGACGUGCAUGAAUGGAGCAACGAGAUUCCUACUGUCCCUACCUACCCUCUAGCGAAACCACAGCCAAGGG